CUUUUACUAGAGAAUAGCCAAGAGAAAUUUUGAUUAAUGCUCUAUACACUUAUUAAUUCACAUGAAUCUAUAAGAAAAGCUCCGGCGGUAAAAGAUGGGCAUGCGUCCUAUUAGCUUGUAGGUGAGGUAAUGGCUCACCUAAGCUCCGAUAGGUAGGGGUCCUGAGAGGGAGAUCCCCCACACUGGUACUGAGACACGGACCAGACUUCUACGGAAGGCAGCAGUAAGGAAUAUUGGACAAUGGAGGCAACUCUGAUCCAGCCAUGCCGCGUGAAGGAAGACGGCCUUAUGGGUUGUAAACUUCUUUUAUACAGGAAGAAACCUUUCCACGUGUGG
rnacentral:rRNA from 1 species